AAGAUCAUACUUCACAGGAUCAUUUCUGUAGUAUGCAUCCUCCAGGUGCAAAUCUGGAGUCGUCAUUGCCACGAUGAUGAGUCAUGUCCAUGCCAGAGCGUGAGGCGGCUAGUGGUCUGCUGUUCGCAGUGAGAUCAUAUAGCAACGAUGAUCGCAACCAGUUUAACUGGAAGGUAUGUGGUCAGUCUGAGUGGU